GGAAAGCCAAAUCCACAGCACUACUCCAGCAGCGACAUCAGACAGAAGCCGAUGGAGAAAAGAUGGAUCGGUGUGGCGAGAUCUCGCGAGAGUGUGUUGCUGAGACAGAGACAGGUCUCGAAUAAAGUUAAUAUUUUCCUGAUCUGUUGGUCUAAAAACGCCAUAUUACUGUCAGAAUGUUCAGAGUAUAUGUGGCGUGUGAAAAAAAAUAGAUCCAGUAUUUAUUCCGGUGACUGUCGGCGAAAGAAUCUGUUAUAAUCUGUGAUCACGUUCACUUCUGCCGUUGGAAUGAACAGACUCCUGCUGCUGGUCUCAUAAAGCGCGGGGAGGAGGAGGAACCACGUGACACAGUUACAGGAAAUAAUUGAAAGCAAACCGUCUCCUUUCUCAACUGUCUGAGAUUCUGGGCGAUUCCUAUUGGCUGCAGUGUUCGUUUUUUUUGGCGGGAGAUCUGACGGUAAACUCAACCAACUGUGUCGCGUUUCCCGCCCACAGCGCCAUCUGAUUGGUUAGACGUCAAGAGUAAUAACCUAUCAACGCUGAAGGCCGCUGUGUUGACAGACGGUCACAGACAGACAGGUAGUUCCGGAGAGGAGCCGUGUGUCGGAGGUAGGUUGAUCCAGAUGUGCAGCAGGUCCUGACCUGGCACAGCUGGAAGUUAUCUGGAGCACCAGGACUUUUCCCAGUAGAGGAAACACUGAGCCUGGAGUCGCUCCACAUCCUCGUCUCCGGCGGGAACCGGGUCCACGACUCAAACAGACUUUGUGACGUACUCACGAACAUGUUGGACCUGGGAUCGGACCUCCUCCUGAAGCUGAUCCGGGGUCAGCUGUCUGACCAAAUAACAGCUUGUUGUCCCGUAACCAUGACGAAGCUCAGACUGAAACACCAGCAUCUGAAGCUCCUGUGGCAGGUGAACAGGUCAGAGGUCACAUGAUGCUGCUCAGCCAGCACUCAGACGAUAGUCGCAGAAAUAAGUGGAGGAAGAGAGAGAGGAGGAGAUAAAGCUGCUCAGUUGUCGAAGGAUCUACCUACAGCUGUUAGUAAAGGAAUGAAGUUUGAUGCUGAACCCACAACAUUUCUCCUAGACUGACCUCCUGCCGUUCUUAAAGACGACUACGUCACUCUGUCCAACGCUCAGGCAGUCUGGAACAAAAUCAGGAAAUCCUGUGAGCUCCUGAACACAUCAGUGCACGCCUUCUCUGCGUCUCUAACAGACACUGCAUUCAG